GGAGGUGUGGCUCUGUGGCAGAGUGCUGGCCUCAGAAGCUAGAGGCCCUGAGUUCAAACUCUGCCCCCUA
rnacentral:tRNA from 1 species